UCCUCUUAAGGCAAUUAAUCAUACGCAUACUCCAAGUAUGGAAGGCUACCACAUGGGUAAUAAUAUCACACGAUUUGCUUGAGGUUUGGAAAGAUAAUAACUCCUUGAUUUGGAAUGCAUAUCUCCAUGGUUCAGAAUAGGUAAGUAAUCAUGCCUUCCUUUAUUGUUGAUCCUAAUAAUAUGACCGUGGCCAAAUUCAUUGUUCCUCCUCAAGGCAAGUUACACGCCUAAGAAAUACACAAAAUCAGAGAAUGAAGAAUGGCACAGCUCUACGAAGAAGAUGAUGAACAGUGACUUUAGUUGC